UUGCUUCAGCAGCACUUAUAAUAAACAUUGGAACAAUACAGAGAAGAUUAGCAAGGCCCCUGCGCAAAGAGAAUAUUUAUACACAUAGAAAAAAAAUCAUUACAU
ensembl:snRNA U6 U6 spliceosomal RNA